GUAUUACUUACUACAAGUGUUACUAGCCUUAAACCAGAGAUAAAACUUGAAGGAUUUUAUUUUGAUACGCCAUCAUAAUCUGGGCGUGUCUACCACAAACCGAGACGCCCUGCACGAACAGAGGUUAGCCAAGUGGUUUAUUGUUUGUAAUAGGAUAUCGGCAGAAGCGGGUUUUGCGAGAUUUCAUAUGAAAAAUAUUUCUAAAUAUUUGUUAAAAAUAGAGAGCCACCUUGUAUUCCAAGGUAACCGGUGAAUUAGUCUACGAGCUAGCCAAAUUAGCCAGCGAUUAGGCUAACGCUACAGCUGUUGAUAGCUAGCUUAUGUUAACCUUAGUUUUUACGUUACAUUUAACAUCAUCAGAUAAACACAGUUGAUCGGUCAUGUGAUAACAUUCAUUGAGGCUAAUCUUGACUUGAAAUAACAUUAUACCUUUUGGUAUUGCUAGUUAUCACGUUAAAGUGUUAGUUAGCUGUCAGUGGGCGUUAGUUAGAAAGUCAAUCAGCCGUGGACUGUCAACUUGUCCGCUAGCUACUGACUUGCAUAUCGACUUCAUUAUGAAGAUAGCUGCGUUCGCUGACGCUGAAUAGGUUUGGAAAACGAAGAGCGCCAUGACGUUUUUCAAGAAUAUCCUCGGAACUUUGUCGAUUUUGUUACUUCUUCCCUCUGAAAUCAAAGGACAAUGCACCAAGCCCACCACCACCAGUGACCAUGCUGGUGUACACUCAGCUGAUAUAUUAAAAGACACUUUUGAAGAGGGUUCUUCUAUCCGACUUCAGUGCCACCCCGGGUAUGAGCGUAGUUCUGGAUUAUCGAGGCUCACCUGUGCCGGUGGACAGUGGACCCCAAGCCCAGAGAGUUUCAUCUGCAAAAAAAAAUCCUGUGGCAACCCUGGUGAGGUGAACAAUGGGGAUUAUCAGUUUCCAAAUGGAGUUGAAUUUGGGGCAGAAAUCACAGCUGUCUGCAAGACUGGGUACUAUAUUGUUGGAGAAAAUAAACGGACUUGCAUGGCAAAUGGACAAUGGGAUGGCAGAGAGGCCAUUUGUGAUCCGGUGAGGUGUGGACCUCCACCAGAUGUCACUAAUGGCCUCUUAACACUUCCUCCAAAUGAAGAAUAUGAAUAUGGCCAUGCGGUGCAGUAUAAGUGUAGCGAUGGCUACACACUGUUUGGAGACGAGGAUCCGGCGGACACUGUGCACUGCCUUGCAGAUGCCACCUGGUCGAAAAAGCCUCGUUGCACAAAGGUGGAAUGCCCGAGGCAAUCCAUCCCGAAUGCCAAACGCAUUGAGGGUCCAAGUGGGCCUUAUGGUUUCGGGGCACGCCUUGUAUAUGAGUGCAAUGUGGGAUACAGGUUCUUGCCCCCUGAUAACAACCGGAUGGUCUGUUCGGAGUAUGGAUGGUCUCAUAACCUGACAUGUGAAGUGGUGAAGUGUUCUCAGCCAGGUGCCACCAAUGCCACCAUCACUGAGGGGGCAGCUGACUCCUAUCAGUACGGUGCCAUCGUCAAGUACAAGUGCCCUGCUGGCCACACACUGUUGGGCAGCCCUGAGUUGAGAUGUAAAUCUGAUGGACAGUGGUCCUCCAACCCCCCCGUGUGCCUCAAAGAUUGUCCUCAGCCAGGUGCCACUAAUGCCACCACUGCCGGGGCGGGUGGCCCCUAUCGAGUCGGUGCCAUCGUCAGAUACUCGUGUCCGGUUGGGCACAAUCUGGUCGGCAGUUCUGAGUUGGAAUGUGGAUCUGAUGGACAGUGGUCGUCCAACCCUCCCGUGUGUGAAGUGGUGAAGUGUUCUCAGCCAGGUGCCACCAAUGCCAUCAUCACUGAGGGGGCAGCUGGCUCCUAUGACUACGGUGCCAUCGUCAAGUACAAGUGCCCCGCUGGCCAUACACAGUCGGGCAGCCCUGAGUUGAGAUGUAAAUCUGAUGGACUGUGGUCCUCCAACCCCCCCGUGUGCCUCAAAGUGGUGGAAUGUCCUGAGCCACCUGCCACCAAUGCCACCAUCACUGGUGAGCCAAAUGGCCCCUAUUAUUCUGGUGCUAUCAUCAGGUACGAGUGCCCUGAUAAGCAGACAAUGUCUGGCCCAUCUCAGUUGGAAUGUAGACCUAAUGGACAAUGGUCACCCGGCCCUCCUGUGUGUCACGAAGGAGGCCUAACUGUAUUAAAAAUACUCGGUGCAGUUUUUGGGGUUUUAUUUGGUGUCGGGGCCAUCGUAGGGGGCUUCUGGUUGUAUAAGAAUAAUAAGAAGAAGAACGAGAGCUACACUAGACCCUCCUCUUCAGAAGGCGAAGAGCUAAAGUCACGUUCAGCGAAUAAUCCAGAAAAUGGUGUCUAGUCAGACAGUGGGACUACUCGGAUUCCAACCCGCGGCAGGCAUCACGUGACCGCGGUGUUGUGAUAAUGCCGUUACCGUCCCAGCCCUAGUCCUAAGAAAAAAAAGGCCAAAACUUGAUCCUUGAUCCCGGCUUGCAGCAUCUUACUGUGUGUGUACGUGUACGUGUGUGUGUGUGUGUGUGUGUGUGUGUGUGCGUGUGUGUGCGUGCGCGUGUGCAUAUGUGCGCGUGUGGUUGCUGCAUCCCUCCUGUUCCAUGAUAAAGGCAGGAGGAACUGCCUUAAUUCAGAGGGUAGUAAUAUCAACUUUAUGUAAUGAUAGCUUGAAGACCCAUUACUUUAAGCAUUUUGGAAACCUUCUCCACACAGUCAUUCCUGCCCUUUGAGGACCUGAGAGGUAUACUAUGAAGCAAGGUUACUUACUGGCUUAUCCAGGUAACUUCAGGAGUAAGCACUGUUUUCCACACAACAUAUCACUUUAGAAACAAUAGCUGCUCACCACAGCAUGUUCUUUUAGAGAUCAGCAGUUACUUAAGGAAGGAGGCUGUAGUUUACACUGAUCUUAGAACAGCUAAGGGGCGUUGUUAGGCAUGACGCAAAGUUGUUCUAAAAUCAGUGUGAACUACAGCCUCUUGGGGCGUAUCGCUUUUCUAAAACGGUUACUACGUCAAUCUAGCAAGAUUUCAUGAAAGAAAGGCACAGCAAUGAAAAAAAUUACGAUUUAUUUAUAGAUAAUCAUUCUUCCGCCAAUAAAUAUAUUUCCUCCAUAAUAUGAAUGGUUGCCAUGCAACAUCGAGACGCAGCUACUCUAACUGCGAGUUGUGGUAGCACAAUGCAGACUGCAUAGUGCUGGAUUUAUACACCUGUGGAAAGAGACCUGAUAAAACCCAUCAAUAGAACGAAAUGCAGUCAAGGUGUAUGUUUGUGUUGGAUUCUACAACGGCAUCAAACGCGAUUCAGCCAAUCACAAUCAAGGAGCGUAACUAUCCGUUUUAGAAUACCAAAGUUACCCAGAUUAGCCAGUUGCCUUGCUUCAUAGUACAGCCCUCAGAACUUCUGCUCGUUGUUACAUUCGUUGACACUGAGGUUAAUGAAAGGCUCCCUCUAAGUCUUAUCAGAUUCUGCCCAGCUAAAGUCCCUGCUAGUGCAGCACUCUCCUCUUUCCUUCUGCGAGGGACUGUUGAGCCAUGCACUGCACUGUUUAUCAUGAAAUGAUGUGCCUUUUAAGUGUUCACACUGAACCUCAAGUGGAAAUUAGUGAAUGUAUAUCGCACCUUAACAUGAUUUAUUUAUUUGUUUGUUAGAAUUUUGAGUUUGGGUUUUUUUGUUCAAUAGCCAAAUAAUGUACAGUCUGUGACAGUCUAUAUGAUUUCAAAGACAUUGUUCUUCUUCAAUCUCAAAGUGCAUUUGGAGUUAUCUGGAAUUAAAUGAAGUAAUUACUUGCCUAAAAAGCGAGUUGUCCAUUUUUUUUUCCAGUUCUUAGGUCACAUUGCUGUCUCUGCUUGUUGCACUGAAUGGAAUGCGUAAUUAAUAAAGUUGAAUCUUUAAUAUAA